UACAGAGGUGACAAACGUUGUCCGGAAUUAUUGGGCGUAAAGGGCGCGUAGGUGGUUGAGUAAGUCAGGUGUGAAAGCUCUGGGCUUAACCCAGGAAUUGCAUCUGAUACUGCUCGGCUUGAGUACGGUAGAGGAGGGUGGAAUUCCCAGUGUAGCGGUGAAAUGCGUAGAUAUUGGGAGGAACACCGGUGGCGAAGGCGGCCCUCUGGACCGAAACUGACACUGAAGCGCGAAAGCUAGGGCAGCAAACGGG
rnacentral:rRNA from 1 species